rnacentral:tRNA from 7 species
CGGGUUGUAGCCCAGUGGUCUAGGGUAUCAGUCUGGGGGACUGAGGGUCGGGGGUUCGAAUCCCCCCAACCCGA